UGAAAAUAGCUGGAAGAAAGCAGCUCUUGAAACACUAAAGAUGAAAAAAGAGUACUCCUCAAUAUUUGGUCUGAAAGAUUUCAAGGAAGUGGGUACAAUUCCAUCUCUACCAGAAGUGCAAAGAUACAGAAAAAAUACAGAGGCUCCACUAGACGUGCUUAAAAGACAUCCAUGUACUCCUCUGAAGACACCUAAAAUCAGAUUGCCAACUGAGAAGAGCUCCAAGAUUGAAAUUCCAAGCUUGAAUGAAGAUAUGCCUACUUGCCUGCCAUCAUUUUCUUUAUCUCAGAACCCUGGGCAACAGUCUGUAAAAGAAGAGAAUUUAAAAAACAGGUCAGUGAAGAGUAACCAAACAGACAGCAUGUUAUCACCUCAGGAGAAAACAAAACGUUUUAGUUUUAGAAGUCCUCUCACUGGAGCACCACCAGAAUAUUUACAGAGACUUUCUGAACUGGCCAUAUUAGAAUACGAUACUAUUCGUCAGGAAACAAGCAAAAAAUUUAAAAAAGUCAAGAAACGAGAGCUGCCACACUACUGACAAAUACUGUUUGGGGUGAUAUUGUUUUCUUCACUGGUAUCUGAUGUAGGUGUGUGUUGUUGGUUGUUGGUUUUUGUUUUGUUUUGUUUUGUUUUUGCAGUCAUGCAUAAUAUAAUGUUCAAUGAUUUACCUAAAAAUGGAAGUGUAAAUAAC
rnacentral:lncRNA from 1 species